AUGGCCUGGACUCCUCUGCUCCUCGCGCUCCUCUCUCUCUGCACAGGGUCCCUCUCCCAGCCUGUGCUGACCCAGCCGCCCUCCCUCUCUGCAUCUCCGGGAGCCACGGCCAGACUCCCCUGCACCCUGAGCAGCGACCUCAGUGUUGGUGGAAAAAACAUGUACUGGUACCAGCAGAAGCCAGGGAGCGCACCCCGGUUUUUCCUGUACUACUACUCAGACUCAGACAUGAAGCUGGGACCUGGGGUCCCCAGUCGAGUCUCUGGAUCCAAAGACGCCUCGACCAACACAGCGCAUCUGCUCAUCUCGGGGCUGCAGCCUGAGGACGAGGCUGACUAUUACUGCGCUACAUACUAUAGCAGUGGGGGCAGCUACCCUUACCCACAGGACCUGUGUCCCCGGGAGGAGGGAGGUCACACUCGAUGGAGCAGCAGCACAGGCGUCCCUGCUGCCCUGGCCCCGGAGUCUCAGGCUGCAGAGCCCAUGGGUCCCUGGGAACAGCCGCUGUCCACGCCCCUCAGUGCUGAGCUCUGA